rnacentral:rRNA from 1 species
UACAGAGGGUGCAAGCGUUGUUCGGAAUUACUGGGCGUAAAGCGUGCGUAGUCGGUAUUGAGAGUCACGGGUGAAAUCCCAAGGCUUAACCUUGGAACUGCCUGUGAGACCUCAGUACUAGAGUGUGAGAGGGGAUAGUGGAAUACCCAGUGUAGCGGUGAAAUGCGUAGAGAUCCGGAGGAACACCAGUGGCGAAGGCGGCUCGCUGGGCUUUACCUGACGCUGAGGCGCGAAAGCGUGGGGAGCGAACCGG